UACAGAGGGUGCGAGCGUUAAUCGGAAUUACUGGGCGUAAAGCGUGCGUAGACGGUUAUGUAAGUCGGGUGUGAAAGCCCCGGGCUCAACCUGGGAAUUGCAUUCGAGACUGCAUAGCUAGGAUGCGGAAGAGGGAAGUGGAAUUUCCGGUGUAGCGGUGAAAUGCGUAGAUAUCGGGAGGAACACCAGUGGCGAAGGCGACUACCUGGCCUGUUCUUGACGCUGAGGCGCGAAAGCUAGGGGAGCAAACGGG
rnacentral:rRNA from 1 species